rnacentral:rRNA from 1 species
UGUUCUGGCAAAUUAUACCAUCCGGUGAAUGGCUCGGCUCAAGCGCUGAAGAAGGACGUACCAAGUUGCGAUAAGCCUCGGCGAACCGCAUGGAGGUUUUGAACCGAGGAUCUCCUAAUGAGACCUCUCAGUGCGCAAGUGCUGAUCCGAAAGGAUCGGGAACGCCCCGGAUUGAAACAUCUUAGUAGGGGCAGGAAAAGAAAUCAAUAGAGAUGCCGCCAGUAACGGCGAGUGAAAACGGCAUAGUUUAAACCGAAUCCCUACCGAAAGGAUAGGGAGAUGUAGUGUCAUAAGCCAGGCCAUAUACAGUGCAAACCAGCGAAGUUGAACUUGUCUGGAACGUCAGACCAUAGAGUGUGAUAGUCACGUAGACGUAAACUGGUGGACUGUGGCUUGGUCUUGAGUACCGUGGGUCGGAAUUCUCGCGGGAAUUUGGGAGUCAUCAAUUUCCAAAACUAAAUACGUCUUGAGACCGAUAGCGUAGUAGUAGUGUGAACGAAAACUGAAAAGUACCCCAAGAAGGGAGGUGCAAAGCGCCUGAAAUCGGAUGGUGAUGGAGCGAUACAGCGUGAAAGGAUCUGUAUAGCGAAGGAAUAUGUCGCGAGGCAUUAGUACGGGCUAUACUGCCAGCGUUGUAUAUUACGUUUUGAAGAACGGGCCAGGGAGUGUACCCAAGUGGCGAGGCUAAUUGAAAGAGCAGCCGAAGC